CUGGAGAACAGAUGAUAAAGCCCAGCCCUUCCCCUCAAGCUACUAAUGAUUGACAGCAAUUGAAUAAAUGCCCUCUAAUCUGAAACCUCUGCCAGAUGGAAGAAGUGAACUAUGCCGCCCACAAGCAGGAAGACCUGAGACCGGUGGAACCACAAGGGUGAUGCUGCUGCUCCCCAAGACCUCAUCAUGGACCCAACAGAAGAGCGUCCUCAAGUUGAUCAGGCUCUGCUCCUUGAACAAUAUAAGACUCCUCAAACCCCUCCAGGACCAGACACAUGGCCUUUCAUUUAUUUUAA